AGCGCCCCCGUCUGUCUUAAUGUGCCUGAUGAUGAUGCCAGUUCUGCUAUGUCACUCCAGCCUCUUGGAUGGCGGGGAAAAGGAGACUAAGCGAGAAAAGGCGAGAAAAAAGGAAAGGCGGGGGAAAGUUUGAAGAUCUUUUUUUUUGAAGGGCAUUACUAUGUCAGGAUUGAAGGAGCUAAACAUACCCAGAACCUUCACAUGUUCCUUGGUUCCUUGGUUCCAGACCUUUUUGGUUGACCUCCUCUGGACAUGGUUCCGCUUAUGGAUAUCUUUGGUGCUCAGAACUGGACACAGUAUUCCAGAAAUGUGCCCCAUUGAAAUGCACCCAAAGCCUCAGCAUCCUCAGCAUCCUCAUCCUCAUCCUCCUUCUUCUCUUCUUCUCUUCGGUGGGACUUGCUCUGGAGGUCAAGUGACGGACGGAUUGUAUGCUUCUCCAUAAUAAUAUUAAUUAAACAAUUUGCAUGCUAAUAAGGUAACAAUUAUCAGGGCUUCUGUUGAAAGAUUCAGGUUAUUACAACACGCCAGUCUGGAGGCCAAGGGUCAGGCAGUGAGAGGCGAGAGGAAAUUUCAACUCGAAUUAACAGGCUGUCAGCUCCAGAAAAUGGGAUAAAUAAAGUUGAAUUAAUUCAUUAUAAUGGAGAGAGAGAGAGAUUGAGAGAGAGGGAAGGAAGGAAAGGAAGAAGAGAGGAAAGGAGGAAAAGGAGGGGGAGAAACAGAAGAGGAGAAACAACCUUCCCUCCUCCGUGGAUGUU